GACGAACGCUGGCGGCGUGCUUAACACAUGCAAGUCGAACGGAAAGGCCCUGCUUUUGUGGGGUGCUCGAGUGGCGAACGGGUGAGUAACACGUGAGUAACCUGCCCUUGACUUUGGGAUAACUUCAGGAAACUGGGGCUAAUACCGGAUAGGAGCUCCUGCUGCAUGGUGGGGGUUGGAAAGUUUCGGCGGUUGGGGAUGGACUCGCGGCUUAUCAGCUUGUUGGUGGGGUAGUGGCUUACCAAGGCUUUGACGGGUAGCCGGCCUGAGAGGAUGACCGGCCACAUUGGGACUGAGAUACGGCCCAGACUCCUACGGGAGGCAGCAGUGGGGAAUAUUGCACAAUGGGCGGAAGCCUGAUGCAGCAACGCCGCGUGCGGGAUGACGGCCUUCGGGUUGUAAACCGCUUUCGCCUGUGACGAAGCGUGAGUGACGGUAAUGGAUAAAGAAGCACCGGCUAACUACGUG
rnacentral:rRNA from 1 species